AGCAGCCGCGGUAAUUCCAGCUCCAAUAGCGUAUAUUAAAGUUGUUGCAGUUAAAAGCUCGUAGUUGAAUUUCGGGGUUAGUAGGUUGGUCAUGCCUCUGGUAUGUACUGGUCUCACUGAUUCCUCCUUCCUGAUGAGCCGUAAUGCCAUUAAUUUGGUGUUGCGGGGAAUUUGGACUGUUACUUUGAAAAAUUAGAGUGUUUAAAGCAAGCUAACGCUUGAAUACAUUAGCAUGGAAUAAUGAAAUAGGACGUUCGAUCCUAUUUUGUUGGUUUCUAGGAUUGACGUAAUGAUUAAUAGGGAUAGUUGGGGGCAUUAGUAUUCAAUUGUCAGAGGUGAAAUUCUUGGAUUUAUUGAAGACUAACUACUGCGAAAGCAUUUGCCAAGGAUGUUUUCAUUAAUCAAGAACGAAAGUUAGGGAUCGAAGACGAUCAGAUACCGUCGUAGUCUUAACCAUAAACUAUGCCGACUAGGGAUCGGAUGAUGUUAAUUUUUUUAAUGUACUCAUUCGGCGCCUUAA
rnacentral:misc_RNA from 1 species